CACGUAGGGCGCAAGCGUUGUCCGGAAUUAUUGGGCGUAAAGAGCUCGUAGGUGGUUUGUUACGUCUGCUGUGAAAACCUAGGGCUUAACCCUGGGCUUGCAGUGGAUACGGGCAGACUAGAGGUAGGUAGGGGAGAAUGGAAUUCCUGGUGUAGCGGUGAAAUGCACAGAUAUCAGGAGGAACACCGGUGGCGAAGGCGGUUCUCUGGGCCUUACCUGACACUGAGGAGCGAAAGCGUGGGGAGCGAACAGG
rnacentral:rRNA from 1 species